GAUGAACGCUGGCGGCGUGCCUAAUACAUGCAAGUCGAGCGAACGGACGAGAAGCUUGCUUCACUGAUGUUAGCGGCGGACGGGUGAGUAACACGUGGAUAACCUACCUAUAAGACUGGGAUAACUUCGGGAAACCGGAGCUAAUACCGGAUAAUAUUUUGAACCGAAUGGUUCAAAAGUGAAAGACGGUCUUGCUGUCACUUAUAGAUGGAUCCGCGCUGCAUUAGCUAGUUGGUAAGGUAACGGCUUACCAAGGCCACGAUGCAUAGCCGACCUGAGAGGGUGAUCGGCCACACUGGAACUGAGACACGGUCCAGACUCCUACGGGAGGCAGCAGUAGGGAAUCUUCCGCGAUGGGCGAAGGCCUGACGGAGCAACGCCGCGUGAGUGAUGAAGGUCUUCGGAUCGUAAAACUCUGUGAUUAGGGAAGAACAUAUGUGUAAGUAACUGUGCACAUCUUGACGGUACCUAAUCAGAAAGCCACGGCUAACUACGUG
rnacentral:rRNA from 1 species